rnacentral:rRNA from 1 species
UACGUAGGGGGCAAGCGUUGUCCGGAAUCAUUGGGCGUAAAGGGCGCGUAGGUGGCCCGGUCAGUUCGUGGUGAAAGCGCGGGGCUCAACCCUGCGUCGGCCAUGAAUACUGCCGCGGCUGGAGCACUGUAGAGGCAGGCGGAAUUCCGGGUGUAGCGGUGGAAUGCGUAGAUAUCGUGAGGAAGACCAGUGGCGAAGGCGGAUCUCUGGACAGUUCCUGACGCUGAGGCGCGAAGGCCAGGGGAGCAAACGGG